rnacentral:rRNA from 1 species
GAUGAACGCUAGCUACAGGCUUAACACAUGCAAGUUGAGGGGCAGCAUGGUCUUAGCUUGCUAAGGCCGAUGGCGACCGGCGCACGGGUGAGUAACACGUAUCCAACCUGCCGUCUACUCUUGGACAGCCUUCUGAAAGGAAGAUUAAUACAAGAUGGCAUCAUGAGUCCGCAUGUUCACAUGAUUAAAGGUAUUCCGGUAGACGAUGGGGAUGCGUUCCAUUAGAUAGUAGGCGGGGUAACGGCCCACCUAGUCUUCGAUGGAUAGGGGUUCUGAGAGGAAGGUCCCCCACAUUGGAACUGAGACACGGUCCAAAACUCCUACGGGAGGCAGCAGUGAGGAAUAUUGGUCAAUGGGCGAGAGCCUGAACCAGCCAAGUAGCGUGAAGGAUGACUGCCCUAUGGGUUGUAAACUUCUUUUAUACGGGAAUAAAGUGAGGCAUGUGUGCCUUUUUGCAUGUACCUUAUGAAUAAGGACCGGCUAAUUCCGUG